rnacentral:tRNA from 1 species
GCGGGAGUAGUUCAGUUGGUAGAACGUAACCUUGCCAAGGUUAAGGUCGAGGGUUCGAGUCCCUUCUCCCGCU